GCCCGAAUGGCGGAAUUGGCAGACGCGCCGCACUCAAAAUGCGGUACCGAGAGGUGUGGGGGUUCGAGCCCCCCUUCGGGCACCG
rnacentral:tRNA from 1 species